CAUUUGAUAGUUUUAUAGUUUGUUAUUUUGUCUGAAUACCAGAAUUCAUUGUGCUGCUGAAACCAAACCUACAACAUCUGCUGUGGUUUUUAUUUUUAACAGUAACUUCUUGUUUUACACAGUUCUUCCUAUUUUAACAGAGCAGGAAGCAGCACUGCACGAGUCACAGUCUGAUCAAUAAUUCAGAUUCAAGAAUCAGAAGAAAUGACCUCACAGGGAUCAGAUUGAACAGAUGUGUUUCUCUGUGCUGAAGUCAGUCUGAAGUUGGUUAUCUGACUCCUUUAACCAAUCAGAGGGAGUUUUUAGGGAGCGUCAAUAACUGACUUGUCAUCAUACAACAGACGUUGGAAGUAGGUGAAGUUGUUCCUGAAAUCCUGCACAGCAGAGACCAGAAUCUCCUGAUCCCAGCUGUGUCCACGAAGAGUCCAUGGAUCAACCUGAACAUUUUAACAUUGGAAGGUAUCAACUUCAACCU